AGCAGUUGAUGCUGCUAAAGCAGCCGCUGUUCAAAUUCACAACUUAUUAGGUAUUCAACCUUUUGCACGUUGCUUUGAAAUGAAAGAAGCUUGUUAUGCUGCAACACCAGCAAUUCAAUUAGCUAAAGAUUAUUUAGCAACUAGACCGAAUGAAAAAGUAUUAGUUAUUGCUACAGAUACAGCACGUUAUGGAUUGAAUUCAGGCGGCGAGCCAACACAAGGUGCUGGCGCAGUUGCGAUGGUUAUUGCACAUAAUCCAAGCAUUUUGGCAUUAAAUGAAGAUGCUGUUGCUUACACUGAAGACGUUUAUGAUUUCUGGCGUCCAACUGGACAUAAAUAUCCAUUAGUUGAUGGUGCAUUAUCUAAAGAUGCUUAUAUCCGCUCAUUCCAACAAAGCUGGAAUGAAUACGCAAAACGUCAAGGUAAGUCGCUAGCUGACUUCGCAUCUCUAUGCUUCCAUGUUCCAUUUACAAAAAUGGGUAAAAAGGCAUUAGAGUCAAUCAUUGAUAACGCUGAUGAAACAACUCAAGAGCGUUUACGUUCAGGAUAUGAAGAUGCUGUAGAUUAUAACCGUUAUGUCGGUAAUAUUUAUACUGGAUCAUUAUAUUUAAGCCUAAUAUCAUUACUUGAAAAUCGUGAUUUACAAGCUGGUGAAACAAUCGGUUUAUUCAGUUAUGGCUCAGGUUCAGUUGGUGAAUUUUAUAGUGCGACAUUAGUUGAAGGCUACAAAGAUCAUUUAGAUCAAGCUGCACAUAAAGCAUUAUUAAAUAACCGUACUGAAGUAUCUGUUGAUGCAUAUGAAACAUUCUUCAAACGUUUUGAUGACGUUGAAUUUGACGAAGAACAAGAUGCUGUUCAUGAAGAUCGUCAUAUUUUCUACUUAUCAAAUAUUGAAAAUAACGUUCGCGAAUAUCACAGACCAGAGUAAUCUGUGUAUUUGAAAGACAUUUAAAUAUAACCUAAAAACAGCAGUAAGACAGCUUCUCAUUGAAAUCGUCUUACUGCUGUU
rnacentral:sRNA from 1 species